rnacentral:rRNA from 1 species
UACGUAGGGUGCAGGCGUUAAUCGGAAUUACUGGGCGUAAAGCGUGCGCAGGCGGUUUGCUAAGACAGGUGUGAAAUCCCCGGGCUUAACCUGGGAACUGCGCUUGUUACUGGCAGGCUUGAGUGUGGCAGAGGGGGGUGGAAUUCCACGUAUAGCAGUGAAAUGCGUGGAGAUGUGGAGGAACACCGAUGGCGAAGGCAGCCCCCUGGGCUAACACUGACGCUCAUGCACGAAAGCGUGGGGAGCAAACAGG